rnacentral:lncRNA from 1 species
CCACCCCCACAUACAGUAGUGUGUGUUUAACUACCCACCCCCACAUACAGUAGUGUGUGUGUUUCAUUACCCACCCCCACAUACAGUAGUGUGUGUGUUUCAUUACCCACCCCCCAUAUACAGUAGUGUGUAUGUUUAAUUACCCACCCCCCAUACACAGUAGUGUGUGUGUUUAAUUACCCACCCCCAUAUACAGUAGUGUGUAUGUUUAAUUACCCACCCCCCAUAUACAGUAGUGUGUGUGUUUAAUUACCCACCCCCCAUAUACAGUAUAGUGUGUAUGUUUAAUUACCCACCCCCAUACACAGUAGUGUGUAUGUGUCAUUUCCAUCCUCC